AAGCGGGGAGCACACACUUUUGCAUAAGCGCAUAACAAUAAGCAUAAGGAAAUUGAUUGGUUCAUUUCCUUAUGCAUAUAUUUGUGGACCAAUCAAUUUCUUUAUGUUUAUGGUUAUGCGCUUAUGCAAAAGUAUGUGCUCCCCGCUUUUCACUUUUCACGUUUCCGCUCUAAGGAAAAAGUACAUGAUCGACCUCCCUAAUACUCUUAAACGAGUUGGCGGCACUGAUCGUCAGUAGUAAGUAGUAGGUAUGCGUAAGUGUACGCAACACUGACGAUGUUGACGUUUAAUUUAUCGUCGCAAUCGCUAUGAAUAUUACGUGAACUCAACGGAUAAUGCCAGUAACCUCUUCCUAGUAAACGGUGUAACGUUGUAUGAUUGCGUGCUCGUGCGCAAGUUUCGCGAGUCGUGAGAUUCACGAACCGUAAAUAUGCGAUCUUUGUACACACUAGGGCUUUGGCUCGAUGCAAGAUACGCCAUGUUGGUUUGAAAGAAUAUCUUCCGAGUCGGUAGAAUCUGUUUGGUGAGCGCAUCGUUUCUGUAUAUAUUCUGUAUAUCGCGAAUGAACCCAGUGUGACGCACUCCAGACGAUGGAAGAAACGAAGAUUAUCUAUCACAUGGAUGAUGAGGAGACACCGUACCUGGUAAAGCUCAAUAUAUCGCCAGAGAGGGUAACCCUGGCCGAUUUCAAGAAUGUUUUAAAUCGGCCGAAUUAUAAGUAUUUCUUCAAAUCAAUGGACGAUGACUUUGGUGUGGUAAAAGAGGAAAUUAUAGAUGAUGAUGCUCAUCUGCCAUGUUUCAAUGGUCGAGUUGUCUCUUGGCUGGUAUCUGCCGAAGGUAGCAAUGUCUCGGAUGGUGCAUCUCAAUGUACAGACUCUAUGGCACACAGUGAAGCAAAACAUGAUCGUGUAGAUCAUAUAACUUCUGGACAUGGUAACAGAGGAACAGCUCCACUUUCACACGACGAUACAUUGACAGAGACGGAAAGUAUUAUAAGCAGUCGACAAGGACAUCAUUUACAUAAAAGCUCGAGACAUCAUUCAGAAAAAUAUGAAAAGUACAAUAAAUAUAAUGGACUUCGUAUAAAUGGUCAUUCAAAACAUCGCUCUGGUCAUGGAUAUGAAACUGCUUCCAUUUUGAGUUCAGAUUUAGAAACAACAACUUUUUUGGAAUCUGAUGACGAUGCGAGUAGUCGUAUCACGUCCACGACAGGUCGGCAUACCAAUAUGAGUAGCACAGUUGAUAGAGGCACUUUGGAUCGGCGUCGACCACAAAGAAGACGGCGGCAUAGAUUACCACCCAUGUCGCGAACGUCAUCGUUUAGUAGUAUUACUGACAGUACAAUGUCUUUAAAUAUUAUAACUGUUUCACUGAAUAUGGAUACUGUUAAUUUCCUUGGUAUUAGUAUUGUUGGGCAAAGUAAUAAAGGUGGAGAUGGAGGAAUAUAUGUUGGUUCAAUAAUGAAAGGGGGAGCAGUUGCUUUAGAUGGUCGAAUAGAACCUGGUGACAUGAUUCUCCAAGUCAAUGAUAUUAAUUUCGAAAAUAUGUCUAAUGACGAAGCGGUGAGAGUAUUACGUGAAGUAGUGCAAAAACCAGGACCAAUAAAACUUGUAGUUGCAAAAUGUUGGGACCCAAAUCCUAAAGGUUACUUUACGAUACCUCGCACAGAACCGGUACGUCCCAUAGAUCCUGGUGCAUGGGUAGCGCAUACGGCCGCUAUACGAGGUGAAGGUUUUCCGCCUCGUCCACCAAGUGCCACAACAUUAACUUCAACAUCGAGCAGUCUUGCGAGCACGCUGCCAGAUACCGAACGACCUUUGGAAGAGCUUCAUUUGACAGUCAAUACUGACAUGCCGACAGUAGUACGAGCAAUGGCUCGAUCUGAUUCAGGCUUAGAGAUACGCGAUCGAAUGUGGCUUAAAAUUACCAUUCCAAAUGCAUUUAUCGGUGCGGAUGUUGUGGAUUGGCUGAAUACACACGUAGAAGGAUUUAUUGAUCGGCGCGAUGCUAGGAAAUAUGCAUCACUCAUGCUAAAAGCUGGCUUUAUUCGGCAUACAGUGAACAAAAUCACAUUUUCCGAACAAUGUUAUUACAUUUUUGGCGAUCUAUGUUCAGCCAUGAGUAGCAUGAAACUAGAUUGUGAUACAGUUGGUCCCUUGCCACCGCCAAAUGCUUGGGACAUGCCUUAUUCGGGAACAUAUGCACCACACUCAGCGACUGGUUACAGUCCCAUGCCAUUUAAUUUCACAAAUGAGCCCACUGUCUAUGGUUACCAUCGAGAAGAGAGCGUGCAUAGUGGUUCGGGUGGUAGCAGUGCAGGUAGUGAACGUAUAUGCAAAGAACCUAUUCACGACUUAAAAUCGUGCUCUUCGGCAUCAGAAUCAGAAUUACAUAAUCCAUCGAUGCCGUCAAUGCCAAGCAAAAAUUCCGGCAAUGGUAACGGAUCGAAUGGAAAAAGAUCUAACGGAAGUCGCAGUCGUUCUAGUGGUUCCGAACAAUCUGUUCAAACAGGAACAGGAUCAGGGAAUCAGCAGAAUCAACAAGAUUUAUCUGGACUAUCUACAACAAUGGGGCAGCUAUUUCUUUAAAAUCGAGAAGAUAUUAUUUCUUAAUAUUUUUGUCCUUCUCCUCCUCCUCACCAAAUAAUUUAUUUUUAUUUUGAAAAUGUUUGGUACAUUAUGUAAAAAUAUUGUCUUGUGUAUAGAAAUUGUUUGUCCUCGUUAACUAGUUAGAAAAAAAAACUUACGACGUCCACAUAUAUAAAUUUUUAUACAUAGUGUGUGUACCCAUUGAUAAAAGUUUUUAUAUAUUAAAUCGUAAAAUCGAAAGUAUAAAUCGAACUUUUUACGAUAUACGUCAUUAUAUUAAAUUCAAUAAAGUGUACAUAUAUGCAAAUUAUGCUCAUAUUAAAUGUGCCAUCUUAUCAAUGUUAGAAAGAUAGAAAGCUACAAGAUUUUAUUUAUAUAGAUGUUUGCAGAUAUAUUCUUAGAUUAUUUUGUCAUUGUUACACUCAUAUUUUACAAUUAGUAAUAAAACUUUCAUAUAUGUUUUAAGUUUUUAAAUAUUACUUUAAUAUUGUCAACAUGCAAAACUUUUUUAUGUAUGUCUUGCCAUUAUGUCAAAUUUAUUUAGUACAUUGCUGUAAAGAGAAGAUGUCUUUCUAUGCUCGAUUUUAUGCUUUAAUAUAAAAAGUGUUAUAUUAUUAUAUACAGAGUGUCCGGCGUCAAUCGCAUCAUCCGUCAUAUACAGGUAGAGCAGAUAAAAACUGAAGAAAAAAGUCCUGUACCAUUUUUUUCUAUAACGCUUAAUAAGAGAGUUUUUAGGCGAUUUUUGGCCAUCGUUUGGUAUAUGUAUCAAUAUGUAUCAGAAUGUUUUCGCGUGGUUAGUAAUUUGUGAUAGAGACGUGGCUAAUUAUUUUGGUAUUUAUCAGUUGAUAGCACGCUAUACCGAGCAGUGAAGCAGGGUAUAUAUUGUUAGUUACUGAUACAUGUAUCAAAAUAAGCUCCACCCCUAUCAAUGACAACUUUGGUACAUGUACCAAACAAUCGCCAAAAAUCGCCUAUUAUUGAGUGAAGUCUGAUCUAUCAUCGCCAAUUUAUUAUACAAAAAAAUGGUACAAGACUUUUCUUAAUUUUAUCUGCUCUACCUGCACACGGGUGAUACGAUUGACGCCGGACAACUUGUACAGCGCACAAGAGAACUUUAAAUUCCUAUGAUAUAAUUUUCUAUACAUUAAAGUCACUCUUUUUUUUCUUUUUAUUAUAUCAAUAUAAUAAUAGCAAAAAAUAUUUUUAAUUUUAUUUGUUGCACAUUAUUUAUAUAGAAAAAAGUAAACAUUAGUUUGUGUGUACAAUGCUCUACCAUUUGAUGAUAUAUUGAUACAAUAAUAGCCAAAUAUAGCUUCAUAUGCAUAUAUAUACCUGUAUAUGUGUAGUAUAUGCAUGGAUGUAUAAAUAUAUAAACACACACACACACAUAUAUAUGUAUAUACAUAUAUACAAAAUACAUACAUAUGUACAAAAAAAUAUUCUAAAACUAUUUAUAUGUAAAAUAUCUUUUAUUGAUUAGAAAUAUAAAUAUUUUAACAAAAACAAUUAAAUAUUUUGACAAAAAGCUUUGUUUCGUUAUAAUUGUUAAAUUUUAUCUGGUAUUUUAUUAUGAAGCUAUAUUUGUGUGCAAUGUAAAUGUUAUGCAAUUUUCCUAAUUAAUAUAAUUACAUCUUUUAUUUAAUUAUAAUAUAAAUCAUUGUAUGACUUGUUAAUUUCUUCUUUAAUAUGAUCUCAACUUGAUAAAAUUGAUUCAUAAAAUAUCACUUUUUUUUUAUAAAAAAAGAUGUAUUUACGUGUAUUAUUUAUCGUUAUAUCAAUGUUGCGGAAAAUUGCAUGAUACAUUAAUUAUGAGUUACAUACAUUUAAUUAUAUAUAAUAAACUAUAAUUAACUUAAUAACUAUUAAUAAACUAUAAUUUUAAUAUUUAUAAUAAGCGGAUGUACGAAACUUGUCGAUUUGUAUCACGAUGUCAUGACAAUAUUAAUAAUUUUAUUGUAUUAUGUAAAUCUCACAUAUACUUAUGUUACAGACAGGUUGUGCAAUACAUUUCACAAAUUUUAAGAUUUUUGCUAUUUGUUAUGUAUUAAUUUAACAUUGCAAAUAGAUGGAGUCAGUAUAAAUUUUUCUGAAAUCGUAUAUUCAUUAAUUAAAAGUGUUUUAGAUUGCCUUUUACUAUUUGUAUCGCCUCCCUGUUCUGAAGAAAAUGUAUUAAAAAUUUUCAUGCUUUUGAACAUUAUAUCGCUAGUAUAUACAUAUUGCACUAUCUCAGAUAUGUAACCGAGAUAUUUUUGUGCUUUGUGCUGCGCGCUGAUGGUUGAUGCAGGGCGGCGUCUGCACGAGGAGACUCAUACACAAACUAGUGAUUUGGACAACAAUAGCAGAGACGAUAUCUAUGAGGAAGACAUUUUGGAGUAUCAGUUUCUACAUAAGUGAGAAGAUCUUUUUUAAUGUAUACACAUAAUGAUGGUAACAUGAGUCAAACAAAUGAUUAAGAUAUAUUUCCAUUGACUUUUUAUUAAUUGGAUGGAAGUAGCACACAUGCAAAACAUAUAUUUAUAUAUUUAAUAGGCCAAUUUUGAUAUCAUAGAAAGUAAAAAAUUAAAAUUCAUAAUU